CGACGGCCUCGACCUCAGCGGGCUGGUGGAGCGGGCCAGCCCGGUGCCCGAGUUCACGCUGGUCACUCGCAAGCGUCACUCGGAGCGCCCGGCGGUGGCUCCGCCCCCUGCGUCAACCGCCACUCCGGAACGCUACAUCCCUGGCAUCACGCCCAAGCCCCGCCCCAUCCGCGCCGUGCGACCAGUCAGCCCGUCGGAUGAGGAACCGACCCCGCCCGCACACGUCACAUCCGGCCAAUCGACGAGCGCAGGCGGCGUGACGUCACCCAUCGAAGCGUUCCCCAGCCUGGGCUCUGCGUUCCCGGCCCUGAAUGGCGAGGCCAUCGGAUCGGCUGCUGGAGCUGCUGGGCUGUCUCCGACCUCGGAGAAGCCGAGGGAGACGCGCAGGUCAUCCAGGAAGGGCGCGCGCGGUCGGCCCCUGGACCUGAGCGGCGCACCGGCCGCCGUCCCGCCCCCCGCGCCGUCGGGCGCCGCCCAGCCGAGUCCGAGGUCAACCGGUGCCCCUCGGCGGCCCGUCUGGGGUCACAGUCGGCCAGGUAAUCAGGCUGUGGGAGGGACGUUACGCACACGGGCUUUCGUGGAAAGGUCAGACACGAAACACCUCUUGCCUCUUGAUUUAUGAGUGGGUUGCAAACCCUUGCACUGAACCGAUCCAGAGAGGGAUGGUGGGAAGGCCCGUUUCAUGCUGCGUGACACGUCCAUUAUUGCGAUGGCCUGAUGUGGAAGUUCCACUGAUCCUGGCUGCGUAUUCCUGAGGAUGAAGUCUCCUACUAAAGUUAUUGUGGACUGUGCUGCUAUUGUAUUCUUAUAUAAAUAUGAAAACCUAACAUCCUAAGCAUCGCCGGGCAAGCUGGGCCGACUUCUCCGGGCAGACAAGGCGCGUGCCUGGUCCCCGAGCCGGGAACGUGAAGGCACUUCGCUGCGCAGCCGUUCAGGGCCCGUGUGUAUCUGGACUGUUUUCACUGGGCGGUCGGACUCCUGAACGGACGAUGCGGGGCCCGGGGCGGCCGAUGUCGGGCGCGGAGCGGCCGAUGUCGGGCUCUAACGGCUGAUGUUGGGUCCUAAGUGGCUG